rnacentral:siRNA from 1 species
GGGAACACUCGCGAUGUUACGGAA